UGCAGUCGAACGGUGAAAGAGAGCUUGCUCUCUGGAUCAGUGGCGAACGGGUGAGUAACACGUGAGCAAUCUGCCCCUGACUCUGGGAUAAGCGCUGGAAACGGCGUCUAAUACCGGAUACGAGCUGCGAAGGCAUCUUCAGCAGCUGGAAAGAACUUCGGUCAGGGAUGAGCUCGCGGCCUAUCAGCUAGUUGGUGAGGUAAUGGCUCACCAAGGCGUCGACGGGUAGCCGGCCUGAGAGGGUGACCGGCCACACUGGGACUGAGACACGGCCCAGACUCCUACGGGAGGCAGCAGUGGGGAAUAUUGCACAAUGGGCGCAAGCCUGAUGCAGCAACGCCGCGUGAGGGACGACGGCCUUCGGGUUGUAAACCUCUUUUAGCAAGGAAGAAGCGAAAGUGACGGUACUUGCAGAAAAAGCGCCGGCUAACUACGUGCCAGCAGCCGCGGUAAUACGUAGGGCGCAAGCGUUAUCCGGAAUUAUUGGGCGUAAAGAGCUCGUAGGCGGUUUGUCGCGUCUGCUGUGAAAACCCGAGGCUCAACCUCGGGCCUGCAGUGGGUACGGGCAGACUAGAGUGCGGUAGGGGAGAUUGGAAUUCCUGGUGUAGCGGUGGAAUGCGCAGAUAUCAGGAGGAACACCGAUGGCGAAGGCAGAUCUCUGGGCCGUAACUGACGCUGAGGAGCGAAAGGGUGGGGAGCAAACAGGCUUAGAUACCCUGGUAGUCCACCCCGUAAACGUUGGGAACUAGUUGUGGGGUCCAUUCCACGGAUUCCGUGACGCAGCUAACGCAUUAAGUUCCCCGCCUGGGGAGUACGGCCGCAAGGCUAAAACUCAAAGGAAUUGACGGGGACCCGCACAAGCGGCGGANCAUGCGGAUUAAUUCGAUGCANCGCGAAGAACCUUACCAAGGCUUGACNUAUACGANAACGCUGCANAAAUGUAGAACUCUUUGGANACUCGUAAACNG
rnacentral:rRNA from 1 species